AUGCACUUUGCCAACGAUAAGCGUCCCCGCCG
rnacentral:scRNA from 1 species